rnacentral:lncRNA from 1 species
GAACCAAAGUACAAGUCUCUAUUGCAGGAACUAUUGCCAAGGAGAUGAUUAUUCAUUAACUCUGGGCUUUACAGAUGCAAGGAUGGGACAAACAUUUCUUUGGCCCUGAUUCAGCAGGUUCACAGGGGUCACACAAUUCACAGCAAAAAGCUCUGGCCUGACCUAUGGAGAGUGAUCUGCUGGAGAGCCAUGGACCACAGGAAAGCCUUUGAUCUCUGUGUGUGCCUGCCAGUUGGCCACUGCUGUGUCAUAAAUGCCUCUGCUGUCAGUGGGAAAUGUGAGUGUGAUAAAGGAGAAUUUCAGAGCCUGCUGUAUGCAGAGCUUCAGCUUCCUUCUGCCUCCAGAAUGUUCUGUGGCUCCAGAACCAGCUGGAUGGUCACACUUCUCUGUACUUCGCCACACAUCACAUGGAGAAACGAGCAAAGCCAAACUCAAAGACCCUCAGACAGAUGGAUUAAAUAAUUUGUGGCCACAGAACAUUUCCUCUGGCUUCCGAAAGAGACUCUUGUCAUUUCUAGGGCUGCCUCAGCUGCCAGCAGUGGUGGCUGUGUUGUCCCAGUACUGCCCACAGUCCAGCUGGAGUCCAGCUUGCAGCAAGGAAAAGAUUGGAAGCAGUCUGAUUUCUGAGAUCUUGCAGAGAGCUGGUUCCUUGGAAAGAAGAGCUAGACCUGACAGCCCUGGACUUCAUUGA